rnacentral:tRNA from 1 species
CCUGCGGGUGGUCCAGGCCGGGCGGGUGCGCGGGCUGGAAACCGGCGACGCGGCGGCGGGUGAGGCAGAAACGGCGGUUCACGCGGCCACCUCCGCCGGUCC